ACCCUGGUCGCUAGGCUAGGCAGCGCCUGAGGGUCAAGCCCUUCUGGGGUCUCCGGGGCCGGGGCCUUUCCCUGGGGCAGAAGGCGGCGAGCAGAAGGCUUGGCAAAGCCCCGUGGCGCGGAGGGGCGCCUGCAGGUGUGGGAAGGGGCGCUGGAAAGAGGCGGCCCUGGCAGCAGCUGGGCGGGGGCAGCCAGAAAAUUAAACUGGCUGCUCUUACUGAAGCCGCAGGGAGAUGGUGCAUCCGCUCAGGAAACGUGGAUGAGAACUGGACGAGAUUGAAACGGGGAGCUGGCUUGGGCUUCUGGGAGCCUGGAGUGGGCACGGCGGUGGUGGGCAGGCCGCCCAAGACAAGGGUAGGGGUACCGCCGCCCCCGGCAGCGCGGCCCCGGCCCACACAGGGGCCGGAGCUGGGACUUCCAGAAGGGAAUGCAGGGGGCUCUGCAGCCGGGAGGGGGCCGCGGGAGCGGGGGCGGCGGCGCACCUGAACACCGGGCUUGCGGAUUGGCUGAUGGAAUUCGCAGAGGAGGCGGAGUCUGGCCACUGUGCAAAUCAUCACGUCUUCUGGCCUCGCCUGGAGGCCUUUGGAGCUCCUGAUUGCAUGCUCAGGGCUCGACCCACCGGAAAGGCGCUCUCACCGCUCAUGAAUUGCAAUGAAUACUAAUACAAGUAAUCCACACUGAACUGUCAGUCCUAUGAUCUGCCAAGUUCAUUAAUUCCAGGCAAGGCACGCUCCGUUGGCGGGAGUGACGGGAGACGGAUGUAUGAACCUCUUGGACCAGGACCUCAUGGCAACCAAGCCCACAAUCAUUAUACAAUCACGGGACUCUUGGCUUAUAUCCAUGUCUUCUUGACAUCCUUAAAAUCAACCCAAUAGUGGAUUUGGCUAAACCACCUGUGACAGCAGGUGACUGUGUGACCUCUGACACUAACCCAGGAGCUACUCUUCCCUCCUUCCCUAGGGUUCUGGAGGGUCUGCCUUUGGCUUCUCACCUGGAGCUUGAGCUCAGAGGUAGCUGUGACAGACUGACCCCCUGACCUCACUUGUUGCGUCCAACGACACUCUUCCAGGCCUCUGUCUUUGUGAGGCAAUCCAGGAUAUGUCCCCACCUUUCCUUCUUGAGCCCAGGGCCAAUGUGUUUCAGGCAAAGUGAUUUCAUCCAGUCUCUUAGUUUUACUCAGUUUUAUUUUUGGCCCUUUGCUGCCGUGGGAUGAGUUAAUUCUAUUCCCUAGGUGAUAGCUCACGGUCAUCAUUAGUCCUGGCUAGUCCCCUCUCGUUUUAUGUAUUCCCCUUUACUCUAUGAGUCCCUCCCAUUUCCCUGCCCCAGAGGCAGCCAUCCUAGUAUAUCUUUUUAUUUGUAUGCAUUCUGCAGUGCAGGGUUUUGUAGGCGCGUAUUGCCACCAAGCAUGGAGCAUCGCAUAGUGCCUUGUUCUUUUAUUACCCUCUUUAGGUGCAUGUUAUUUAAUGUGUCUGGGGACAGGAUCAAUGGAUACAACAUGUCAGAGAGUGGUAGUGCCUUAAGAGUUCACUGAGACUCUCUGCGCUGAUGAUAAUGGAAGUGACUGCACCGAGUCAUGUUUCCUAGAACAGACCCUCAGGAUUGUGAGCCAUGGCACCCUGAUGAGGCACGGCUGCCCGCAGGCCUGGGUCCUCACCUCAGCUCUGCGGGACUUACCAAGAGCUCUGGCAGGUCUUUCGCCCUCUGACCGUGUCCUCAUCCAGUAAAUAACAGGUUAACUCAGGGCCCUUCGAUGGUUUCUUCUACCUUAAACAGUCUUUGAAAGCUGUUGUCUAGGAUUCACCAGCCCUAGAAUGUAUUUAGUCUCUGAGAUUCCGACUGAACACCCACUGCGAAGCCAGGCCGUCUAGGUUCCAAUUCCAGCUUCCCCGCUUGCUACGGGACAUUAGACAAAUUACUUUUCAUUCUUAAAAUGGAGGUGGUGGGGUGCCUGGCUGGCCCAGUAAGCAGAGCGUGUGACUCUUGAUCUCGGGGUUGUGAGUUCGAGCCCCGUGUUGGGCCCUGCACUGACAGUGUGGAGCCUGCUUGAGAUUCUCUCUCUCCUCUCUCUCCCUGCCCACCCCCCCAUGCUUUCUCUUUCAAAAUAAAUAAACUAAAAAAAUUUUUUUUAAUAAAAAUGGAGAUAGCCAUAGCACCUACUGUCUGAGGGGGAGAUUAAGUGAGUUAAUACAGGUGAACAGUGCCUGGCAUCUACUAAGCGUUCAGUAAGGUUAUUGCUGUUUUUAUUUAAACCCUAUAAUAACCCUAUGAAGUAGUGUAAUUAGUUUCAUUUUACAGACGACAAGACCAAGGUUCAAGGAGCAAAGCAAUUUGCCCAGGCUUGCGUAGUAGUAUUGCUGGGAGCCAAUUCCAGGUCUCCAGACUCUGAAUGCUGUGCCCUUCCCCCCGCAGACAGACACAAGACCUCAAUCCCCAGUGUGCAACCUGAAGUUGUUGCGCAAAACCUUCUCGCUGCUGAUCUGAUGCGAGGUGACCCAGGGGCCAUUGUGGAGACAGCCGCUGGCCCUGGUGGUCUUUUCGGUCUUCAUCGGCAUCCUUCUCCCAUACCGUGACCCCUUCUAAGGAAGAACCUGCUUCCUCCGGGGGGUUCGUGGGUGUUCAUGUUCGCCAGGCAGCCUCUGAGCCGCCCCGAAUCCCAAGGUCAGGCCUGUUGGUAGCAUAUACAUUCAGCCGGGAUGUGCCAGAAGAGAGCGGGCCCGACGAGUCAGACCUUGGGUUCUAGUCCCGGCUGUGCCAUUUCCUCUGGGCUAAGUUUGCUUUAGUUUCCACAUCUGUACAAUGGGCAGUAACGCUGAACAAAGUUGCACGAGCACUAAGUUUUAAGAGACUCUUCCAAUCUUGACCAAAUGCUAGCAGUUGCCCGAUCCCUGUAGAACAAAAUGCCUGUUAUAUAGCCUGAUGUGGCCUGAAAUGACUUGUCCCCCACUGUGUGCAUUUAACAUUUUUCCUUUCCCCUCCGGGAAGAGGACUGUCUGGACCUCUGCUAUCGUUCCAAAGAAACCACCUCAUUCUUUUGGGGGAGUUGCCAAAUCCUAGAAUGUCAUUGCUGGAAAGGACCUUGUGGGCCUUCUGGUCCCAGCGUGGCAAACUUGUCUCUCAAGGGCCACCCCCGCCUGAAGCGGUAAGGGAGGCCGGGUCGGAGCUCCAACGGAAGGAAGAGCACCGUGGUCCUUCUGCUCCAGGUACAGCCCGGAGGGGAUGCAGGCCGCCACGUGAGCUCCGUGCCACCUCCAGCUCUGCUGCCUCCCACAGAGGUGCAAGCCGAGUACAUGAAGGUCUCUUGUCAUCUUUCACCUGACCCUCAGGGCUACCAGAUCUGCCAGCCACGUUUGACACAGGAGGUGUCCGCCUGUUUGUUGCUCAAGAGUUCCAACCUGGCCACAGUAAGGAAGUGAUACAGUGGAGCAGAGGAUCGGGGGACCGCCUCGAAGCUGGGAGGGACACAAACCACCGCCUGAAUCUGACCUGCACCGACUCCUGGAGCCGUGGACUGUUUGCUCUCUGUCUGAGGCUUUAUCUGCCAGGGAGAUGGGCAAGCGGCCAGGGCCCUCUCAGGUGAGGGGUUGAACAGCCAGGCGGCGGCACGCUGCCAUACCAGAUGUCAUGGCUGGUCACUCAGAGGAGCUCUGGGCCAGGAGUCAGGAGGCCGAGGGCCGGGAGAUGGCUCCAGCUGGGCUCCAUGCAUCUGAGCGACUCUCUCCCCCACAACCCUUCACUUCAGGCCCUCCAAGUGUGGAGUAAAGGGCUGGGCAGCAGAAGGAUUUCUCAUCCGUGCUGCACGAGUCUCGCAGACAUUUGUGUUUAAAAUAUAUACACAUAGGUCGAACGAUUUUCUUAAAGUAUUUUUUUAAAGAUAAAACCUAUUCAACCAUAUGCAUAUUAACAUGCUGAAGUUAAUCUGCUUUUAGGUUGUUUUGGGGUAGACUUCCCUGUCACUUCUGGAAUUGCAACAUGUUAAAAAAUGUAAUCAUUUGCAUUUACUUCUCUCUAUGACCAAAAUACGGGAAAAAAUGGGUUCUAAGGUCAAUCUAAGACCGCAUUCAUCAAAACAUUACUUUUCUUGUCUUUAUAAGCCAGUAUUAUCCAGCAGAAUUCACACUUUUUAUAGCAAUAUCAUCUAAACUGUUUUAUGCAAUUUAUAUUUCUUAUAGAAGAUUUCUUUCCAAAAAUACACUGGGCUAGUUUUCACCUUUGAAAAUCACCAUCCCCAAUAACCUCUAAUUCCUCCUCUGGCUCGGACUUUCCACUCCUCUCCAAUUCUAAUCCCUGGACAAAUUCAUAGGGUCUUAAACUUAGUCCACAGAGAACCUUGAAACCUCUUGCCUUUACUUUGACACAUGAGGCUUUUUUCUUCAUAUAACUAGCUUUGUACCCAAAUCCCAUUCUUCAGCACUCAGCUCAAGUACAACCUCUUCUAUACAAAACACUUAACAUGGUCUUGGACCUAAGCCUCUGUUUCUUCAUCUGCAAAACAUGAUAGCAGAACCUCCCUCAAGUGGUGAGGUUUAAGUGAACUGGUGGAAGGUGUAUCUAAAAUACCAAAACAUCGACACAUGAGUGCAAGGAGCGCUCACCAUUCUAUUGUCUCUAUUACUGUCUCUCGUGUUAUCGUCACAGUGGAAAAGACUUUGGAGUCAAUGAAGUCUCAGUUCUACCAUGCAAUAAAUGUGUGACCUCAGGCAAAGAAUUUGGCCCAGUAUUCUCAAUAGGGUAGUAAUGCCUCCUAGUGGGUGGUUGGGGAAUUGAUGUGGUGUUUUUAGGACUGUCCCAUUGGUCACGGAGCAUAACCGGCUUUAGGAGAAGGGGACAGAGAUACUAGAUGUCUGGCACACAAAGGAUUGCCCAUGUCGUGGGACUGGGCCAAUAUGGGUCAGGUACAUAGUAUGAAAGGUGCCUGGAUAAGGCCAUUAUUAAAGAGAAUGAGAAAAUGGACAAAAGACAUUGUCUAGAAAUAAUUGAAUUGCCCUGUACAUUCAGACUACUCAAUUCUUCCUAAUUCCUAAUUUCCUAAUUCCUAAUUCCAGUUAUUCCUCUUCUUCUAUCAAGGGAUAUGUGCUAUUUAAUACACAAUAUUUUGGUGCCAGGAACUGUUCUGAGCGUGUAUCAAUUCACUUAAAAACCUCCUAAACCCAGGGGACAGGUACUCAUCAUUUACUCCCCUCCCCCUACUCCAUGUGAUAAGGAAGUUAUUUUUGACAUUACAGUGUUAAGGCCCAGCACAUCCGUGAGAACACUGUGUGUACUUCAUUUCUCCAAUUCGUCAGUGUGUUGUCUUGGCAUGUUAUCCCUACCCCCACGUCUUAUCACAUUCAAGUAAGUCUGAACGAAUCUCUCAUGACUUCCUGGCUCUAGUUUUUAUUCUGGUGUCUACAUGUGCCUUCACUUUCAUUUUCCUGUAAGGCAAGUAUGGAAUGGUUUCAAGCAGGUUCAAGCAUCUGACUUAUGUCUUCUGGCAGUUACACCUGACUUUCAUAAAGAAAUGCAUACCUUUAAUAAAAUGCUUUCCUUUUUUUAUCUUAGUUAAGGCUUCAUCUUGAUUUUUUUUUAUAAUGAACAUAGAAAAUGGACUUCACUUUCAAAGAGUCAAGGAUCUUUUACAAUUUUUUUUAUUUGUAUUUUUUUAUUUUUUACUGUCCCUAUCUGAGCUUCUUGAGUAAUGGGAAAUAAUAACCCCAAUAUCAUGGAGUUGGUAAUGAGAAAAAGCACCACACGUGUGCUCAGCAUACAAUAAUUUGAGUUCCCUUCCCGUCUGAUUGUCUACCUUUUCUCUCCACACCUUGCUCAAGGGGGAUAUCCCCAACACCAACACUGUGAAUGUGCUGAAAGAAGGCUCAAGCCAAGUGCCAUUUUCUGGUGACAACAAUCUCAUCCAGCUGUUAGGUGACACCAGAGCAGGUGCCUAAGGGACGCUGGAUUUUCAGUCCAGCCCCACAGCCUCUCUACAGAAGCUGCCUCUCCCUGCAAGAUUAAGAGGCAAGAACAGGGAUGGGCACAGGGUAUGGCCAGUGGGCAGGAUCCCAGGCCAAGGGCAUGGAUAGGCUUUGUUCCAUAUACAAGGGAGGCCUGGGGUAAGGAAAAGACAAAUAGACCAAUAGGACGACUGUGGGAUCAGAAGUAGAUCUUAAUCCUUACUGCUCUUUAGAAUCACCUGAGGAACUUUUAAAGUGUACAGACAUCAAGUUCCCACCUCAGAUAAAAUGUAUCAGGACCUCUGGGGACCAGGGUCCAGGUGUUAGUGAUUUUUCAGAGGUUUUCCAGGUGAUUCCAAUAUGUAGGCAAAGAGUAGAAAGUCACUGACCUACAGACUCAUCAAUGAUACCAUGUUAGGUCUGUUUUGUUAUCCCCAACUUUACAAGAAAGAAAUUAAGGAAAAUAAGUGACUUGCCCCAGGCACACAGCCAAAAGAUGGAAAUCUGAAUCCAGACUGGACUAAUUUGA